rnacentral:rRNA from 1 species
UACGAAGGGGACUAGCGUUGUUCGGAAUUACUGGGCGUAAAGCGCACGUAGGCGGAUCGCUAAGUCAGGGGUGAAAUCCCAGGACUCAACCCUGGAACUGCCUUUGAUACUGACGAUCUGGAGAUCGGGAGAGGUUGGUGGAAUUCCGAGUGUAGAGGUGAAAUUCGUAGAUAUUCGGAGGAACACCAGAAGCGAAGGCGGCCAACUGGCCCGAUACUGACGCUGAGGCGCGAAAGCGUGGGGAGCAAACAGG